ensembl:lncRNA
CCUGUCGUCGCCCCCGCGCCUGGGAUGCGGCCUCUCGGGUCGUAGUCACCCUCGCCCGCGCCUCCGCCCACCACCGCCCCGUUCCCGGUCGCUGCCGCCACCGCCGGGGCUCAUGCGGGACCCGCGCCGCCUUCUCCGGAAGCCGGGCCGGGACACGGCGCGCCUGGGCCGCCGAGAACCCGACGCUCGUCGCCAGCCGCCGCUGUCGGUGCGCGCCGAGGGGUUGCGGAGCCGCCUGGCAGGGGCUGCAGGCCGCGAGCGACGCCGAGGAGGCGCUGAGGGUCGGCGGAGGCGAAGCUAAGCGGGCAGCGGGCGGCUGCGCAGCGGCGGGGCGCACGAGCGAGGGCUGGGUGGUGCGUCGCGGUCUAGGCGGAGAGGGAGCGGGCCCUGUCGUCUCCCAGAGUCACCCCGAUCCCAGCGCCACCAUCUUGGGAGGAACACUGAUCUCGCGACCGCGGCGCCAAACGGGAGGACGGGCUGGGCGGGCCGAGUAUCCCGGCAGGCAGCGCGCGCCGCCCGGCCGGGCGAGGGCUUCAAGCCGAGACGCGAGGAGUCGGGGCCGGACGGAACGCACGCGGAGGGCGCCGCGCUCGGCCCCACCCCCGGCCAGCUCGCCCCCCUCCGGCUUCCCGUCGCCCCCGGCGCAGGGGCGGCUGGGAAGGGGAGAUGAGGGCUCGCGGCUCGGCCGAACCCACCGGGGCCGGCCGCCAUCUUAGGACUGGGCAAAGGGGUUAACACUCACCUCACUCUGUGCUGUCGGUGGCCGAGCAGAAAGAACCAGGACAAAGGCCAGGGCCAGCUGAUGAUCUUGUCACAGUGCCUCAGCCAGAGCUCAGUGAACGGCUGCCAAAAAAGACUUCUGAAUGGCCAACAAGUACAUGAAAAAGUGCUCCAUGCCCUGAGUCAUUGGAGAAGCGAAAAGCAAAACCGCAAGGAAAUAUUAUCCCACCCCAGUGACAGUGGCUGUUAUCAGAAAACCAAGACAUAGCAAAUGCUGGCAAGGAUAUGGAGAACAGGGAAGACUUGAACACUGUUUUGGGGAAUGUAAAUCAGUACAGCUAUUAUGAAGAUCAGGAGGGAGGUGCCUCAAAAAAUUAAAAAUAGAAUCACCACAAUGGGCAAACAUCCAAAGCAAAUGAUGCCAGUCUAUCAGAGACACCACAGCCCCAUGUUUACUACCCCAAUAUUCACAGCAGCCAAAAUAUGGAACCAACCAAGGUGUCUGAAUGGAUAAAGAAAAUGUGGGACAUAUGCAAUGAGAUAUUAUUCAGCCAUAAAAAGAAUGAAAACCUUUUGCACCAGAACGGCCAGGACUGGAGGGCAUGGUGUUCAAUGAAGUAAACCAGGAUCAGAAAAACAAAUAGCACAUAUUCUCUCUCAUAUGAGGAAGCCUGAAAAGUUAUCUCCAAGAGAGCCAGGUAGUGAUUACUAGAGGCUGACAAGGGCAGAAGGUAAUGAGUAUAGAGGGUGGGUGGAUAAUAAAUACCAGUGCAGUGCAACAGGAAGAACAAGUUCUAAGGCUCCGCAGCAUAGCAGGGAGACCAUAGUUUACAAGAGCCUACUGCACAUUUUAUAAAGAACUAGAAGCCAGGAGUUUGAAAUGGCCCAAAGCAAAGAAUGAUAAGGAGAAGAAAAUGUUGAUAUCCUGAUUUUAUUAGCACACAUUGUGAAUAUAUAUAUAGAGAGAAUUAUCAUGCUGUACCCUAUAAAUGUACAUAAUUAUUAUGUAUAUAAAAAUGAAAAGGAAAAGGAGACUGCCCAGGAGACAGGGCUGGGUCUUAGACACACUGAGGAUAGACAAGCUUGGCUUUUCCAGCUGCUGAAGUCUUACUUAUCUGGUUUCCUCGUAGCUAUGCCAUUUGAGAGGCUCCUGGCCAGGGAUGGGCACCUCUGCCAGAGGAACUCCGUCCUGCUGUGACAGAGGAGUCUGUCCAGCGUGGAGAACCAGGAGCUCUCUGGGCUGUGUGUUGGAAGGUUCAGUCUUGCUGCUCGGGGACAGAAAUUGAGUGGGAAGGCAGCCUCCAGACAAGGAGCAUUGUAAGGCUACUAGUUAAACAAGGCCAAACAAAUGAUCGGCUCCUUUCUAGCAACACUUCUGAAAAAAAUUGAAGUAAUUCAAUGUGGCAUAGCAUGACAGCAUGAGAAUGAGAUGUCACCUUCCAUAUUUCGUGACUUGAUAAAAACCCAUUAACGGUACCUGUAAACUUGAAAAAGUGUUUUAAAAGUGUAGAAGUGUUGAUCCUUACUUUCCACAGCAGCUUUUAUCUCUUGGAAUGGAGAUGUUUUGUUUUCACUUGGGCCUGUCCACACCCUGAGAAAAUCCUAGCCAGUCCUAUGCCUGGACAAACUGGCUCUUCACCAGUUGCCUACUUUCAAGCCACUGUGCCCCCAAGGGUCCGAGGUGUGGCCCUGGAGCAGAGCACAGACAGCUGGAGAGCCGAGAAGCCCUCAGCCCUUGCAUCUGCCAGGUUCUGACUUUGUCCACUGCAGUGUUUCUGGUACCCAUGCCACGGACCUAGAGAGAGGAGGGCGGACACAGAUCGAGUCACACACUUAGAAGGACCUGGAAGAAUCGGGAUGGUAGGAAGUUCAGUGUGGCUACUUGAAGACAGGGCAGAGCCCAGAGGUGUGUUCGUGCUGUCCUGUCCAGCCUGGAGGAGAAUGGGCUCUUUACCCUCGGGCUUGGGCUCCUACUGAGGUGAGCUUCCUCCUGCUUCCACCCACACCGACAGAUGCGCCAUUUCCUGUCUUUCUCCUUCCUUCAUCAUCUUCUAGUCUCGAAGAGAAAGGGCCCUUCUGCUGGAGGCUGCUGUAUUCAGGGAAUCCCUCUACCGUAGUAACUCCCAGCCGUGUCCUAAAAUUCACCAAAGACUUCUUAAAAAUUAAAAACAAAACACAGAAGGCUUGGGCUUCAUCCCCAUGUUCUCAUGCUGGAUGUUGGCCGGGACUUUUCAUGUUAAAUCAGCCUGCGAGAUGAGCCGUGUGCAGGCGCUUUCUUUGAGAAAUGCUCCUUCUCCAUGGAGAGGGACUGUCCUCCUCAUCCCAUCUUACUUUUCCUGGCACAUUUCCAAGUUUGUGAAUAUGCUCAAACCUCCUCCAUGAAAAGAGAAUGUUCUCUCAACCACCUCUUCUCCUUCAUCCCCAAGAUUUCCUGAAGGAACAAACCUUCUUGUGUGUUUCUGCUCCUUUUCCUCUUCCAUUCUCUGCAACCCAGUGUCUGUCCCUACCACUCCACACUUGUUCUCAUUACCAGGAAGACAAAUGAAACCCACACACCAACCCACCACGGCCUCUGAGGAAGCCUGCGAAGCCCGCAGGACCCAGCUGCUUCCUGUCCGGUUCCCUGUUGCCGCUGCCUUACAGUCCCUGGUUUUCUUACACUUCCUUGAGCUGCAGAGCUCUCUCCAGCUGCCGAGCCUUCCCGUGCUGCUGUCUGGAGCCCUGCGCCCUCACCAGAUGUUACUUCCCGGUCUUGCGGCUUCAGUAUCCAUCUCGGAGAGGCCUUGCCGCUGCCCCGAGUGCUCUCCCUCUCAGAACCCCUUCUAUUUUCCUUCAGAGCACAUUUUCUAACUGAUGUGUUUACUUAUCCCUACUUCCCCUCACAAGACUGUGAAUUCCAAAGGCGGGUGGCUUUGUGUGUGCAGUUUAUCACUGCACCGAGCCCAGUUCUUGGAGCACAGUAUGUGCUUCACUGAUAGAGAAGGCGAAUCUGUGAAGCCACUUGUCGGUCACUCGUGAUUCUCACCUUCCGGAUUUGCACCCGAGUGCGCGGCUGAGCAGUGAGAAACAGCAGCAAGACUGCUUCAGCAAGGAGCCUGCGGCUGGGCGCGGCGUCUGCCCCGGUGUCCUCAGCCGGAGGCCCAGCACGUCGGCCGGUCCCGGCUGAUCUCCGUGCUCCAAGGCCUUGGGGAGCUUUGCUUUUGAACAAUUUCACUCUGAAGAAUAUCAACAGUCAACUUUUUUCCUCUGUAGAGGAAGACUGCUCCGCUGAUGUCACUGUGAUUACAGGGUAAUCGCAGUAAGUCUCUUGAGACCUUCCCUUUGUUGGUUUUUGCAGAGUGAAUGAAAUAAAAAGAGGACUAAAUCAUUCACUUCCUGUGCAGCACAGUGAGAUCGGGGUUCCCUUAGAAACGACCGUCUCAGGGCGUGGCCUCAGCACCUCGCGUGUACCUCCUGGUUCCUGCGUGUAAGGCCUGAAAUGUUCCCAACCAGACCGCAUGGCACUUUCCUUCUCGGGGCAUAAAUCUGCUGGGUAACAGUGUAUGCCGUGUAUACUGUUAGUGUUCCUAGUGGCUGCUGAAUGGCGUUGCGACUUAACCGGUACUUUGGAGCCCUGAAGACUCCCCCUCCCAAAGCUGCUACCUGCUCAGAGACCUGGAGCUUGCAUGCGCACACACGCCCAAAGUGGGACUUUCACAAACCCUCAGACCCCCUCAAGAUGUUUUCUUAGCAGGCUUUCUGCUAGAUGCCUGAGUUCAAAGAAUGAAGGCCCAGUGCUCACAGGACAAGCAGAGAAGGAUGUGCAAAGGUUCCCACUGUGGACAAUGGGAGCAGAAAUAGGAUUCACAGAGAAGAGAAGGUUUGGAGAGAAAGUGGCACAUUCUGACUUGGAUAUAAGGACUCACAUCUCCAAAGAGCUGUCUACAUGGUGAUGUCUGAUAAACAACCUGUGGACUGGGAGGACAAGCUGGAUGUGGUGGCACAUGCCUGUGAUCCCAGCACUCUGGAGGCUGAGGCAGGAGGAUCGCUGCAAGUUUGAUGCCAGACAGGGUUACAUAGUGAGUUCAAGGCCAGCCUGAACUACACAGCAAGACCCCGUCUCAAAAAAACCAAACCAAAACAAAAGAAAAACCACUGGGAAAAGACGUAAUUUGAUACAAACAGAAGGUGCAGAAGUGUCCCUGGAGCAUGUUUAAAGCCAGCCCUUUAGACAAUGCCCAAGAAAGUCCAGAAAGAAAUGAACCAAGUAUUGUAAUGUGCAAUGACGCUGAGGGCCAAAUUAUACUUAAUAUGAAUUUUGAGAAUCAAUGUAGCAAAAUUUCUCCAGAAAUUCUUGGACAAGAAAAUGAAAAAAGGGGUGGUCAGUGGAAAGAGCAGCAAUGGAGAUUCUGAAUUGAGGUGAAGACCUCCAUUCCCUUGGAAGCGGGCCUUCAGGGGCCAGUGAUGCUCCCUCCUCCCUCUCACCAUCUACCCCUUCUUUACAAGUGAGCAGACAGGGCUGUCAGCCUGAGUCAUUCUAGAGAAGCUCCUAUUCGUAUUCCUAUUCCUGGUGGUGGUUUCCCUGCUACGCCUCGGUCUCCUUGUCUUAUACCAGUGUCCACGCUGCAGAAGAGGGUGUUGCCUUAAUUAGGGGUAAGGAUUGAAUAAGCUGUACCAGCGAUGUCUGCCAAUGCUAACAAACCAGCAAUGUAUAGUGGUGAUAAUGCUCACAGUUCUACUCUGCUGGUGAUCCAAUCUUGUACCAUGUUCAUAUAUACCAAGCUACCGGUCUAACCUGUUUAGACUCCUGGAGAAUUUAAAUGGCCCAAGGUGAAAGUUCUGCCUUUUGGAAGUCCCAGGAGGGACUCCUGUUUAACAGAGAAGAUUGUAAUUAUCCUAAAGAUGUGGCUGCGUGCAAGGGUCUUUCCUCCUGAUGCUUCCUGAUGCCAGGAAACAAACCUGUGGCUUCUAAAAGACCUGUAGGAGAAGUUCUGCUGCUUGGUAGGGCACUGGCUUCAAAUCCCUAUUAUUCAACCCUCUUCCUCUUAUCUUGGCUUUCCCGUCUGCUCUUUCCUCUCUCUCUCUUGGCUUGCCAAGUUUGGGCUUAGUCAGUGCUGUGGUGUUAACACUGCAGCUCAUAAUGUGCCAGCUCACGCUGACUCAGAACCAGAGAGUCAGAUCAGUGCUGUACCCAGAAUGGAGACAAAGGCAGGGCAGAGACAGGAGGCAGGGAGCUUCCUGAGUGCCUGUCUUUGUUCAAGCGUCUUGCUGCUGCCUGAGGGGAGAGGGCAGGGAGAAUCUGAGCGGUGAUGGGCUCCCAGGAGGAAAAUGCUGUGUUAAUAAAGAGGGAAGACUGCAAGUUUUACUCUGUGUGUUCAUUUGUAUGUAUGUAUUUUAAAAUGCCAAUCAUAGAAAUUAUUUUUAACUGAAUAUGUUAUCUGUAUUGUUAUCUAUAUUAUCUACACUGACAUGAAAUUACAAGAACUAAUAUGAAGAGCGCCCACAUAUGCUUUCCAGGUUUCCUCCAAUUGCAGGAUUUUGCAAACUUAGAGUAUAAUAUCACAACUGAGAUGUUAUACAUUUCAGAUUUCUCCAGGGUUGCUUGCACUUGUGUGUGUGUUUAGUUCUACAAAAACUAUUACGUAUGUAGAACUGGCUUUCCACCACUACAGUCAAAAUACCAAGUACCUCAUCAUUACUACAAUCCCGUGAUCCUGUGUUGGCUAAUUCCAACCACAUCCACCUCCUCUGUUCCAUUUUUCAUUCAAUCCCAACCCCG